GGCAAACUAAGAUAUCCGUACUUUGGUCUGUGGUGACAAAUUAAAGAAUCAUGAUUUAGUUCAUGACUAACAAUUCACAAUGUUACGAUUCAGUCCAUGACUAACAAUCCACAUCAUGACUAAUUUAAAUCCUCUUACAUAAUCAAUAAAUCAUUCAAUAAUUUUAUAUUAUAUUUCUUGCUUAAUUUUAAAACAAUCAAUAUCUUAUUCCAAAUAAUUAAUAUAUGAUACAUGUAUACAGUAAAGAAUAUGUGUUUUUAUGUAGUCGUAUCAGCAAUCAUAUUACAAAUGAUAAUCAUCUAGGCAAACCAAAAAUCAAUAUGCAUAAUAUAAAAACAUAAUAUAUAUACGGGUGA
rnacentral:lncRNA from 1 species